UACAGAGGUCCCGAGCGUUGUUCGGAUUCAUUGGGCGUAAAGGGUGUGUAGGUGGCGCGCUAAGUCGGGUGUGAAAUUUCGGAGCUUAACUCCGAAACUGCAUUCGAUACUGGCGUGCUUGAGGACUGGAGAGGAGACUGGAAUUCAUGGUGUAGCAGUGAAAUGCGUAGAGAUCAUGAGGAAGACCAGUGGCGAAGGCGGGUCUCUGGACAGUUCCUGACACUGAGACACGAAGGCCAGGGGAGCAAACGGG
rnacentral:rRNA from 1 species